rnacentral:lncRNA from 1 species
GGUGAGCAGAUUUUUGCUCUGCUGCAGCCUUGCCUGGCCCUCCCUCCUGAUUUAGCUGACCAACCAAGCGCAGGCUGGAGCUGCCCCGCACUGGCCUGCCCACCAGCCUGAAGCAAGAUGCACUGAAGUACAAACGGCCCUGUUGCAGUAAAGGCAAACCGGCCCAGGUCCCGGCUGGGGCUCUAGGCUUCACCUAGAGCUUUAGCUUUACUUGGUGAAUCAGAGGAGGGAGGCAGGUUGCAGAUGAAGGACAGACGGUGGGCAUUGUCAACCAGCACAUCCCUUGGAGAUUUCUGGUCCCAAAAAGCAUCACAGGGCACUUUGUACAGAACGGGAUUGUCACUCUGAUGAGCGCAGAAGUCUCUUAACUUCCAAAUGAGCUGUCUUCCGGGCCCCUGGGAAACCAUAAUGUAAGUGGUGCCAGGCUUCCAGGAAUGGCCAGAAAGCUGCUUCACUUGAGGGUGGCCGAGGAUUUGCUCAUGUGAAAUGAAAACAAUAGACAUCGAUACUAGUUGCAAUACCAGUAAUUUUUUAGCAGAAAAAUAA